GACACGGCCCAAACUCCUACGGGAGGCAGCAGUAGGGAAUUUUCGUCAAUGGGGGGAACCCUGAACGAGCAAUGCCGCGUGAGUGAGGAAGGUCUUCGGAUCGUAAAGCUCUGUUGUAAGAGAAAAACGGCACUCAUAGGGAAUGAUGAGUGAGUGAUGGUAUCUUACCAGAAAGUCACGGCUAACUACGUGCCAGCAGCCGCGGUAAUACGUAGGUGGCGAGCGUUAUCCGGAAUGAUUGGGCGUAAAGGGUGCGUAGGUGGCAGAUCAAGUCUGGAGUAAAAGGUAUGGGCUCAACCCGUACUGGCUCUGGAAACUGAUCAGCUAGAGAACAGAAGAGGACGGCGGAACUCCAUGUGUAGCGGUAAAAUGCGUAGAUAUAUGGAAGAACACCGGUGGCGAAGGCGGCCGUCUGGUCUGGAUUCUGACACUGAAGCACGAAAGCGUGGGGAGCAAAUAGGAUUAGAUACCCUAGUAGUCCACGCCGUAAACGAUGAGAACUAGGUGUUGGGGGAAUAACUCAGUGCCGCAGUUAACGCAGUAAGUUCUCCGCCUGGGGAGUAUGCACGCAAGUGUGAAACUCAAAGGAAUUGACGGGGGCCCGCACAAGCGGUGGAGUAUGUGGUUUAAUUCGAAGCAACGCGAAGAACCUUACCAGGCCUUGACAUCCCUUGCAGAGAUAUAGAGAUAUAUCCGAGGUUAUCAAGGAGACAGGUGGUGCAUGGUUGUCGUCAGCUCGUGUCGUGAGAUGUUGGGUUAAGUCCCGCAACGAGCGCAACCCUUGUGAUAUGUUACUAACAUUGAGUUGAGGACUCAUAUC
rnacentral:rRNA from 1 species